rnacentral:lncRNA from 1 species
UCCUCCACACAAUCCCGCUCUGAUACCAAAUGUUCUAGCAACUGCAGACCAUAUGUGAAAACUUGGUGAUUAGCCAGCAACAAAAGAAAAGAUCACCUAGAUGUGAAAGCAUGCAGAUAUAUUCAAGAAUGAGGGCAAUCAAGAAUGCCCAAGAUUUGAGAAGAAAAGAGGGAAGAUGAAGUGGUGGUAGAUUUCUUGGGAGAAAGAGAUUUAUUUCGUAUCUGUAUUCA